rnacentral:rRNA from 1 species
GUUGACCUCGGAUCAGGUAGGAAUACGCGCUGAACUUAAGCAUAUCAAUAAGCGCAGGAAAAGAAACCAACAGGGAUUACCUCAGUAACGGCGAGUGAAGCGGUAAUAGCUCAAAUUUGAAAUCUGGCCUCUCGGGGUCCGAGUUGUAAUUUGUAGAGGAUGUUUUGGGUACCGCCCCGGUCUAAAUUUCUUGGAACAGAAUGUCAAAGAGGGUGAGAAUCCCGUCUUGGACCGGCGGUAGGGCCUGUGUAAAACUCCUUCGACGAGUCGAGUUGUUUGGGAAUGCAGCUCAAAAUGGGUGGUAAAUUUCAUCUAAAGCUAAAUAUUGGCCAGAGACCGAUAGCGCACAAGUAGAGUGAUCGAAAGAUGAAAAGCACUUUGAAAAGAGAGUUAAACAGUAUGUGAAAUUGUUGAAAGGGAAGCGCUUGCAACCAGACUUGAGCGCGGCGGUUCCCCCGGUCUUUUGGCCGGGCUACUCCGUCGUGUCCAGGCCAACAUCGGUUCUGAGGGUCGGUCAAAGGCCUUGGGAAUGUAUCUACCUACGGGUAGACUUAUAGACCAGGGUGUCAUGCGGCCUCUCGGGACCGAGGAACGCGCUUCGGCUCGGAUGUUGGCGUAAUGGUUGUCAGCGACCCGUCUUGAAACACGGACCAAGGAGUCUAACAUCUAUGCGAGUGUUUGGGUGUCAAACCCGGAACGCGAAAUGAAAGUGAACGGAGGUAGGAAGCUUCGGCUGCACUAUCGACCGAUCCUGAAGUUUACGGAUGGAUUUGAGUAAGAGCAUAGCUGUUGGGACCCGAAAGAUGGUGAACUAUGCCUGAAUAGGGUGAAGCCAGAGGAAACUCUGGUGGAGGCUCGCAGCGGUUCUGACGUGCAAAUCGAUCGUCAAAUUUGGGUAUAGGGGCGAAAGACUAAUCGAACCAUCUGGUAGCUGGUUCCUGCCG